rnacentral:rRNA from 1 species
UAAGUAACCUGCCCUAGACAGGGGGAGUAACUGCUGGAAACGGCAGCUAAGACCGCAUAGGUAUGGACACUGCAUGGUGACCAUAUUAAAAGUGCCAAGGCACUGGUAGAGGAUGGACUUAUGGCGCAUUAGCUGGUUGGUGAGGUAACGGCUCACCAAGGCGACGAUGCGUAGCCGACCUGAGAGGGUGACCGGCCACACUGGGACUGAGACACGGCCCAGACUCCUACGGGAGGCAGCAUG